AAAACACUGAAACAAGCUAAGCUGACAUUAUUCUUCCUUCUCUCCCAGCCCGAUGAUUUUUCUGUAACUUCCAAAUAGCGCACCCAAACUCAAGCAGCAAGGCCGGUGACUCUCCCACAUGUGCGUAUGGAUCCAGCUCCCUAUUGGAAGACUGGUUUUAAGAGGGCCAGAGGGUAACGGGAGAAUGAGAAGUAGAUGUGUCCUGAUUUCAAACAUGCCGGUCACAGCUCCCUAAAAAUUGCAUCAUAUCACAGCAUAAAUGCAACUUCAUUGCAUUCAUCCGUCCCAUUUUGAGCUCCGUGGCACACUGUCUUCCCAUUGUGACUUUAAUAUGGAGUGAGUGACGUAGCUGCUGGCCAAGAAGGCGGGAUUUGUCGCUGAGCUUGAGUGUGAAGUCCAGCAGUAGCCAAUUUGUUUCGAUGUUUCCCUUAACCGACCUGAAUCUGAAUGGUAAAAUUCCAUUCAGGAAAUCUGCCGUUUUGUUGUUGCCGUUGCUGCUGUUAUUGUUUUUUGCUUGUUGGGUAGAGGAGUAUUUUAGUUAUAAGAAAAAAAUUCCCCUAGCCCUUAAUUCCUUUACGCAAGGAUGUCAUCUAGGGUACUCGGUGAAGCUACGUGAGACUGGCUGCUGCUGCUGCCUAUCAGUGAAAUACAGACACUGAUCAAGUUCCAGCGUUCCCUCCUGGAGGACAUCUGGGCCCUUUUGGCUAUGCCCUUCCACGCCUAGGUGUUCCCCCAUUGGAGGGAAGGAUAGUUAGAAAUUGUUUCGGACUGUAUGUUUUCCUAACAUACUUUAUGUGCUAAUGCUGUUCUACAAACUCUACUACGAGCUAUUUUCUCAUCACCGAGACAUUUGAUUCAGAGUUGCAUAAGCCCCGGAGACUGUGGGGGCUCUGUCCUGCCUGGCUUCUCAAUCUGGAUGUUUCAUUUGUAAGUCUCUCGCACUCGGAGUAUUUGCUAAUGUCAGCACUAGCCUGUGUAUAAGGAGCAGAAGGCUAAUUUCAUUGUGCUAGAAUGACGACAGGGCGCUGUCAGUGUUCUCUUGUUCUCACUUCUUAGCGCAUUUCGGGAACCAGGCUUUUAUUCAGAUGAUCGAGUGCCACUGAAAGUACGCAUCCAGCUCCAGGGAUGCAAAUGGAAAAGUAUCUUUCCCCAUCCCUAUGAGGCGAGGACCCUCACAAACAAAUGCAAUGCCGGGGAAUCGCUCCCGUGGUAUAGCAAACAACAACUUGUGUUCGGCUUGCUAUUUCUAUGCUAUUGUCAGGCUGGAUGUGUUGCUUUAAUAGAACUUUCUCUUUCCCCAAACCCAUUUCUUAGAAGGCUAUGGACAUAUCACCACAGAAGGGCCAGAACCAGAAACGAAAGCCGUUUUCCUUUGGGCGCCUUUGCCUGAUCGUGCAAGUCUUUCUGUCCCCUGGGGAUGGCACUGGCCUUUGUGGGAGAAAUGUCAUUACUCCAUACAAAGUUUCCAGGAAAGUGGAAAACUAGAAUGCGGGGGACACAAUUAGAGCAUGCCAAGGGACCCCAGGCUGUGGAAAGGUGUAUCAUUUAACGUCACGAUGUCGGAACUGGGAUUGACCAGCGUCCACUAUACCAUCUCUAAUCUAUACCCUGAGUGUUGUUUGUCUCCUGGCCUGGUUACUCAAAGCAAAGCCUCAUGAAGUCUCAAGGGUCUUCAGACCAAAGUAAGAUCCAUUUCCACGAUGUCACCCCGGGUAACCAUUCAAAUUAGAGGAUCAUUUCAGAAGUUCCCUUUGAGCUUGAAAUCUCAUUUCAACUGAAGCCAAUUUGCCUUCUGUUUUGUGCAGCUCUCCUUACAGCAAUCCACAAGGUGUCUUUGUUCUUACCAAGCAUGUGAUUCUUGUAAAAUUUUCAGUAAGUUGCGCCAUUUUGUACAGGCCAGGGUAACCGUUAUAAUGCCAAGCAAUGACUACAGUGUCGUGUAGUUCUGCCAGUCGGAUUUCUUUUGUUUCCUAUGGAUAGAAUUGUUCGUAUUCUGCUUGGUUUGGGGUCUUUCUUUUCAGCUUUGUGUUUCCAGUGUGUUGCCCAGUUACACAUUUUGUUUUCGUUUGAUUCUGAAUACAGUGAUACUCUGUGUAAAAACAUUUUCAAUGUAGUUUGGUGAUUUUUUCCACACAGCGUCUCUGUAUAAAUAAUAUUGGCUAAGCUAGUGC
rnacentral:lncRNA from 1 species